AUUGAACGCUGGCGGCAGGCUUAACACAUGCAAGUCGAGCGGAGUGAUGGUGCUUGCACUAUCACUUAGCGGCGGACGGGUGAGUAAUGCUUAGGAAUCUGCCUAUUAGUGGGGGACAACAUCUCGAAAGGGAUGCUAAUACCGCAUACGUCCUACGGGAGAAAGCAGGGGAUCACUUGUGACCUUGCGCUAAUAGAUGAGCCUAAGUCGGAUUAGCUAGUUGGUGGGGUAAAGGCCUACCAAGGCGACGAUCUGUAGCGGGUCUGAGAGGAUGGUCCGCAACACGGGGACUGAGACACGGACCAGACUCCUACGGGAGGCAGCAGUGGGGAAUAUUGGACAAUGGGGGGAACCCUGAUCCAGCCAUGCCGCGUGUGUGAAGAAGGCCUUAUGGUUGUAAAGCACUUUAAGCGAGGAGGAGGCUCUUUUGGUUAAUACCCAAGAUGAGUGGACGUUACUCGCAGAAUAAGCACCGGCUAACUCUGUGCCAGCAGCCGCCGUAACAC
rnacentral:rRNA from 1 species